UGAGUACGAGAUGCUACGGCAUUGAAGCAGUCUAUGUCAUACUUCCAAGAAAAGCUUGCACUGUCAUAAAUAAACAAUGCCUGUACCAUAACCGACACAGGUGGGUAGGUAGAGUAUACUAAGGGGCGCGAGAUAACUCUCUCUAAGGAACUCGGCAAAAUGACUCCGUAACUUCGGGAGAAGGAGUGCCUUAUUCGUAAGGUUGCAAUAACAAGAUCCAAGCAACUGUUUAUCAAAAACACAGGUCUCCGCUAAGUCGCAAGACGAUGUAUGGGGGCUGACGCCUGCCCAGUGCCAGAAGGUUAAAGAAGUCGGUUAGCAUUUGCGAAGCUGGUAACUGAAGCCCUGGUGAACGGCGGCCGUAACUAUAACGGUCCUAAGGUAGCGAAAUUCCUUGUCGGGUAAGUUCCGACCCGCACGAAAGGCGUAAUGAUUUGGAUACUGUCUCGGAGAGGGACUCGGUGAAAUAGACUUGUCUGUGAAGAUGCGGACUACCUGCACCUGGACAGAAAGACCCUGUGAAGCUUUACUGUAACUUGAGAUUGAAAUUGGACUUUAUAUGCGCAGUAUAGGUGGGAGGCUAUGAAAAUCUUUUUGCGGAAAGAUUGGAGCCAUCAGUGAGAUACCACUCUUAUAAUGUUAGAUUUCUAACUUUGUAUCAUUAUCUGGUCAAAGAACAGUCUCAGGCGGGCAGUUUGACUGGGGCGGUCGCCUCCCAAACGGUAACGGAGGCGCACAAAGGUUUCCUCUGAACGGGUAGAAAUCGUAUCUAGAGUGUAAAGGCAUAAGGAAGCUUGACUGUGAGACCUACAAGUCGAGCAGGGACGAAAGUCGGUCUUAGUGAUCUGACGGUGCUGAGUGGAAAGGCCGUCACUCAACGGAUAAAAGUUACUCUAGGGAUAACAGGCUGAUCUCCCCCAAGAGUUCACAUCGACGGGGAGGUUUGGCACCUCGAUGUCGGCUCAUCGCAUCCUGGGGCGGUAGUACGUCCCAAGGGUUGGGCUGUUCGCCCAUGAAAGCGGUACGCGAGCUGGGUUCAGAACGUCGUGAGACGGUUCGGUCCAUAUCCGGUGUAGGCGUUAGAAUAUUGAGAGGAGCCUUCUUUAGUACGAGAGGACCGAGAAGGACAUACCUCUGGUGUACCAGUUAUCGUGCCAACGGUAAACGCUGGGUAGCUAUGUGUGGAGUGGAUAACCGCUGAAAGCAUCUAAGUGGGAAGCCCACCUCAAGAUAAGUAUUCUCA
rnacentral:rRNA from 1 species